rnacentral:rRNA from 1 species
UACAGAGGUCCCGAGCGUUGUUCGGAUUCACUGGGCGUAAAGGGUGCGUAGGUGGCGAGGUAAGUCGGAUGUGAAAGCUCGGAGCUCAACUCCGAAAUGGCAUUGGAAACUACCUUGCUCGAGGGUUGGAGGGGGGACUGGAAUACUUGGUGUAGCAGUGAAAUGCGUAGAUAUCAAGCGGAACACCGGUGGCGAAGGCGAGUCCCUGGACAACACCUGACACUGAGGCACGAAAGCUAGGGGAGCAAACAGG